rnacentral:rRNA from 1 species
UACGUAGGGCGCAAGUGUUGUCCGGAAUUAUUGGGCGUAAAGAGCUCGUAGGCGGUUUGUCGCGUCUGGUGUGAAAACCUCAGGCUCAACCUGGGGCGUGCAUCGGGUACGGGCAGACUAGAGUGCGGUAGGGGAGACUGGAAUUCCUGGUGUAGCGGUGGAAUGCGCAGAUAUCAGGAGGAACACCGAUGGCGAAGGCAGGUCUCUGGGCCGCAACUGACGCUGAGGAGCGAAAGCAUGGGGAGCGAACAGG